rnacentral:rRNA from 1 species
CCUCGGAUCAGGUAGGGAUACCCGCUGAACUUAAGCAUAUCAAUAAGCGGAGGAAAAGAAACCAACCGGGAUUGCCUCAGUAACGGCGAGUGAAGCGGCAAGAGCUCAAAUUUGAAAGCUGGCCCCUCCGGGGUCCGCAUUGUAAUUUGCAGAGGAUGCUUCGGGUGCAGCCCCCGUCUAAGUGCCCUGGAAUGGGCCGUCAGAGAGGGUGAGAAUCCCGUCUGGGAUGGGGUGCCUGCGCCCGUGUGAAGCUCCUUCGACGAGUCGAGUUGUUUGGGAAUGCAGCUCUAAAUGGGUGGUAAAUUUCAUCUAAAGCUAAAUAUUGGCCGGAGACCGAUAGCGCACAAGUAGAGUGAUCGAAAGAUGAAAAGCACUUUGAAAAGAGAGUUAAACAGCACGUGAAAUUGUUGAAAGGGAAGCGCUUGCGACCAGACUCGCCCCCGGGGUUCAGCCGGCAUUCGUGCCGGUGUACUUCCCCGGGGGCGGGCCAGCGUCGGUUUGGGCGGCCGGUCAAAGGCCUCCGGAAUGUAGCGCCCUUCGGGGCGCCUUAUAGCCGGGGGUGCAAUGCGGCCAGCCUGGACCGAGGAACGCGCUUCGGCUCGGACGCUGGCAUAAUGGUCGUAAACGACC